GUGAUACUCCCUACGUCCGGUAUUAAGUGUUGUAACUUUGUCUAGAUACGCAUGUAUCUAGACACGUUUUAGUGUGUAGACAAAGUUACAACACUUAAUACCGGAUGGAGGGAGUAUUUG
rnacentral:pre_miRNA from 1 species